GCUAUACAUGCAAGUAGAACGCUGAAGGAGGAGCUUGCUUCUCCGGACGAGUUGCGAACGGGUGAGUAACGCGUAGGUAACCUGCCUGGUAGCGGGGGAUAACUAUUGGAAACGAUAGCUAAUACCGCAUAAGAGUAGAUGUUGCAUGACAUUUGCUUAAAAGGUGCAAUUGCACCACUACCAGAUGGACCUGCGUUGUAUUAGCUAGUUGGUGGGGUAACGGCUCACCAAGGCGACGAUACAUAGCCGACCUGAGAGGGUGAUCGGCCACACUGGGACUGAGACACGGCCCAGACUCCUACGGGAGGCAGCAGUAGGGAAUCUUCGGCAAUGGACGGAAGUCUGACCGAGCAACGCCGCGUGAGUGAAGAAGGUUUUCGGAUCGUAAAGCUCUGUUGUAAGAGAAGAACGAGUGUGAGAGCGGAAAGUUCACACUGUGACGGUAUCUUACCAGAAAGGGACGGCUAACUACGUGCCAGCAGCCGCGGUAAUACGUAGGUCCCGAGCGUUGUCCGGAUUUAUUGGGCGUAAAGCGAGCGCAGGCGGUUAGAUAAGUCUGAAGUUAAAGGCUGUGGCUUAACCAUAGUACGCUUUGGAAACUGUUUAACUUGAGUGCAAGAGGGGAGAGUGGAAUUCCAUGUGUAGCGGUGAAAUGCGUAGAUAUAUGGAGGAACACCGGUGGCGAAAGCGG
rnacentral:rRNA from 1 species